rnacentral:rRNA from 1 species
CCUGCGAAACCCAAAAGAUCGAACGGGGAGAUUCAUCGUCAGCGAUCCUGGUAUCUGUACGGUUCGCGAUGCCGGGGACCUCGGUCUCUCGGCACGCGUCCGUAUGUUUUUCAUGACCGGGUAUUGUCGGCGUGCACUUCUCCCCUAGUAGGACGUCGCGACCCGUUGGGUGUCGGUCUACGGCCCGGGUGGGCGCCUGCCCUGCGUUCGCCUCGCGGCGCGUUACGCUGGUCAGACCCCCGGUUGCCCGACCGGCUGCUUCCCGGCGGUACUCGCACGGUAUCGAGUCGCAGACAUUAGAACUGCGUCCGGCCCGCCGCAAGCGAGACCAGUGAUAAACCCGGAUGUACGGAUCUAACGCCGUCGCCGGGCCUGGUCGGCUGUUGGUUGGCGGUGUCCUCGGACUGGCUCAAACAUAAAUUGUGAUACCGGUCGGCGACGCUACUGCUUUGGGUACUCUCAGGACCCGUCUUGAAACACGGACCAAGGAGUCUAACAUGUGCGCGAGUCAUUGGGAACUCUUAAGCCUAAAGGCGCAAUGAAAGUGAAGGUCGGCCUCGCGCCGACCGAGGGAGGAUGGACCGCGUCACGAUGCGGUCCCGCACUCCCGGGGCGUCUCGUUCUCAUUGCGAGAAGAGGCGCACCCAGA